rnacentral:rRNA from 1 species
ACUGUGUGUUGUUGGGUAGGGGAGCGUUCUGUAAGCCUGUGAAGGUGUGUCGUGAGGCAUGCUGGAGGUAUCAGAAGUGCGAAUGCUGACAUAAGUAACGAUAAAGCGGGUGAAAAGCCCGCUCGCCGGAAGACCAAGGGUUCCUGUCCAACGUUAAUCGGGGCAGGGUGAGUCGACCCCUAAGGCGAGGCCGAAAGGCGUAGUCGAUGGGAAACGGGUUAAUAUUCCCGUACUUGGUGUUACUGCGAAGGGGGGACGGAGAAGGCUAUGUUGGCCGGGCGACGGUUGUCCCGGUUUAAGCGUGUAGGUGUGUGUUCCAGGUAAAUCCGGUUCACUUUAACACUGAGGCGUGACGACGAGGCACUACGGUGCUGAAGCAACAAAUGCCCUGCUUCCAGGAAAAGCCUCUAAGCAUCAGGUAACAUCAAAUCGUACCCCAAACCGACACAGGUGGUCAGGUAGAGAAUACCAAGGCGCUUGAGAGAACUCGGGUGAAGGAACUAGGCAAAAUGGUGCCGUAACUUCGGGAGAAGGCACGCUGACACGUAGGUGAAGUGAUUUACUCAUGGAGCUGAAGUCAGUCGAAGAUACCAGCUGGCUGCAACUGUUUAUUAAAAACACAGCACUGUGCAAACACGAAAGUGGACGUAUACGGUGUGACGCCUGCCCGGUGCCGGAAGGUUAAUUGAUGGGGUCAGCGCAAGCGAAGCUCCUGAUCGAAGCCCCGGUAAACGGCGGCCGUAACUAUAACGGUCCUAAGGUAGCGAAAUUCCUUGUCGGGUAAGUUCCGACCUGCACGAAUGGCGUAAUGAUGGCCAGGCUGUCUCCACCCGAGACUCAGUGAAAUUGAACUCGCUGUGAAGAUGCAGUGUACCCGCGGCAAGACGGAAAGACCCCGUGAACCUUUACUAUAGCUUGACACUGAACAUUGAGCCUUGAUGUGUAGGAUAGGUGGGAGGCUUUGAAGCGUGGACGCCAGUCUGCGUGGAGCCGACCUUGAAAUACCACCCUUUAAUGUUUGAUGUUCUAACGUGGACCCGUGAUCCGGGUUGCGGACAGUGUCUGGUGGGUAGUUUGACUGGGGCGGUCUCCUCCUAAAGAGUAACGGAGGAGCACGAAGGUUGGCUAAUCCUGGUCGGACAUCAGGAGGUUAGUGCAAUGGCAUAAGCCAGCUUGACUGCGAGCGUGACGGCGCGAGCAGGUGCGAAAGCAGGUCAUAGUGAUCCGGUGGUUCUGAAUGGAAGGGCCAUCGCUCAACGGAUAAAAGGUACUCCGGGGAUAACAGGCUGAUACCGCCCAAGAGUUCAUAUCGACGGCGGUGUUUGGCACCUCGAUGUCGGCUCAUCACAUCCUGGGGCUGAAGUAGGUCCCAAGGGUAUGGCUGUUCGCCAUUUAAAGUGGUACGCGAGCUGGGUUUAGAACGUCGUGAGACAGUUCGGUCCCUAUCUGCCGUGGGCGCUGGAGAACUGAGGGGGGCUGCUCCUAGUACGAGAGGACCGGAGUGGACGCAUCACUGGUGUUCGGGUUGUCAUGCC